CCACCGUUCUGGACAUUUUGUGAAAUUAAAAAAAAAUAUGUACAAUUUCUAUUUAUCGUAUAACAUAUAAAACUCAGUCAUCAGUGGUGGCGCGGAGGAAGUAUAUUUGAAUCAAGUGAUUCACAAAAAAACAGGUGUACAAAAAUAAAGUUUUUACAAAACAAGUCAAUAGUCAUUGAAAGAAUUUGAUAAAUUUCAUUAGACUCACAAGAAAACUAAUUGAUUUUCCCCUGGGAUAUUUUUGAUAGGGAUGAGUGUGUGUUUAUGUAUAAAAUUAAAUCAGCGAUUCAAGAUAAAAUAUUUCAUGCCUUUACUGGUUAUAGGUAUUUCUAUAUCUCAGUCAGUCUUUUUUGCAU